AUAUACCGCGUGAGGGAUAGCAGUAAGCUACCCUGCCUGGCCGAUAGGCAGGCAUGUAGCACGAAUAGCCCGACCGAAG
rnacentral:sRNA from 1 species